UUAGAAUAAACUGUUAAGACUUAAAACUUACUCAUUUUACCUUUCACCAUGGAGCUUGUAACCUUCACUUGUGUCUUGAGCAGUUAAAAGAUAGAACGGUCAAGUCAAGCGCCAUGUUUCUUAUUCUUGAUCAGCUAUAGCUCUGGGGUUUUUGCAGAUUUUCAAAUAAAACUCAGAGAUUCCUUAUAUGACUCUCUCAGAUCUCUCUUUUGUGGUAUUUCUGGAUCCUUACCAAGGCAGUAAUGGUAUAUGCCUUCUCUCAAAGUAUGUGGUAUUUUUGGUAUGAGGCAUAGUGAUAUUGCCUUCUCUCUCACCUUACUCUAAUAAGGUUUUGAUAUCUAGAGCUCAUAGGUGGGAGACAGCUAAUACAUACUUACAAGACAUUUAUUGCAUAGUCAAACCAUGGAUCCAGAGAAACAAAUCAAUAAGCCAAAUCAAGAUGUGCAUGUGUGGCGAAUGAAUGGUGAUAACAAUGGUGAAAACAAUGGUGGUGGUCUAAUUCUACUUUUGCUCUUUUGAGGGGAUACAUACCUUCCUUGCUUUUUGAAACUUUAUGAGGAGAAUGAGAUGCUCUUCUUUUUCUUUCCUCUCAGUUGGGUAUCUUGUACCCCCAAUUCUACUGUCGGACACUUGUCCAUUUUUACCUCUCGUCUCACUUUUUCUUUCUUUCGAGGUUCCGGGCACUUGCCCCUUUUUAUUUCCUCGUUUAUAUAUUAUUUUUAUUUUUUUUCUCUUUUCUCUUUUUUUUUAGAGCACUCAUCUCUUGAGAUAAUAUAGCAAGUGGUAGUAACCAAAAUAUUUGGAGCAUUUAUUUCACAGGGAAUAACAGGGAUAGGAAAAUGUUUUUGACUAUUCUCUCCCGGAUUAGGAGUAGAAUAUUUUUGGGUGAUUCUGGAGAUGGAAAUGGAUGGAUAUAUGUGGAUGGUACUUCCGGAGUAGAAGUAGCAUAUAUGAGUGAACGUGCAUGUGAAUCUUGAUUUAACCACAUGACAAGUUCCUAAGUGUAGCUUCGUGUCAUCCUGAAUGGUUGGUACUUCCGUGGAUGCGCAGCUGCUUUUCAACUGGCCUGGGGGGCUAACGUUGACCUCAGGCUGUGAUGUACCUUGCCCUUUCGUCAUUUGACUAAGUGCUGCUUGCACUUGCCUUUGAAUCUCCGCCUGCAUCCAUUCUUCACGAGUUUUCUCGUGCUCUUUUGACUGCAGAACAAAAGCUUCUAGGCAGCGGAUCCGCUCUGCCUCCUCAUCCUUCUUUCUCUGGCGGCUUCUGUAGGUAUCUUGAUCGGCUUGGAAUGAUUGCAGCCACGGAACUGCCCCAUAGCCUCUCGUACGCCCAACGUGCUCAGGAUUUUCAAGCGCAUAGGUGAGUUCAUCCUUCUCCCUGUUAGGCCUGAACUCACCAGACUGAACCGCCUCUCAUGCAUGGACUAGUCUCUCUGCUGCUCUAGAGAUUUCUUGGCCCCAAACUAGCGCCCCGGUGUCUGGGUCCACGCUUCCCCCAUGACGGUAGAACCAAUGCUUGAAGCGCUCGCUCCAAUGCUUUGUUAUUGUUGUUGACGGUCCUUAAUGCUCACAUUUAACUGUCAACUAAUCAUGGAAAAGGAUCUAAAUGGAACCAACACCUAGACUUAGGGUUUUAUCUGACAGAAUUCCACAAGUUUUGGUGUUUGUCUAUUUCUACAGGGGGUUAUCAGGAAAUAUGAAAGAAAGGCCCACACGUCGGAUUUACAUAGAGAUAUUAACGUGCCGCGCAAUUUUCUACCAUCUAGAAGACUCCAGAAGCCACGGCAACGAACGGGAGGCCGAUCGGGCCCGGGGGCAGGGCGCCCGCCCAAGUCCCUUGGGUGCCCGCCCAGCUACAGUAACCAAUCAGCUUCAACUUCGCGGAUCGUGCUCCACCGACCUAAGGGACCAAGGAAAACCGUGCGAUUAAUGUCGGUUUGAUCCGACGGCCCAGAUUCAUCUGAAAAGACUAUAUAUGCAAGGCCCCCUAGCCCCAGGAGAUCAUACCUCUUCUACAAAAUCAAAGUCAGGGUUUCAAUUCUUCAUCCAAGUAGAGAGGAUCCCUCUAGUUCUUCUAGUUCUACCUCUAGUUCAUCUAGAUCUAGUUCUAGUUCAUCUAGUUCUAGUUCUAGUUCCUCUAGUUCUAGUUCUAGUUGUAAUCUAGAAAAUAGGGAGAGAGAAGAGGAGAGCGGAGGAGGAGCCGGAUGUUGGGUAUUCUUAACAUCAUUACCAAAAGUAGACUAAGUUCUCUAAAUCUAGUAACAGUGCCAAAAAUGCCAAACCUAUCCCUCACACCACUUAAGCCAAGUUGUCAUCCCCAGCAUGAUAUGAGAGACGCGGUAUUGAAAUAUGCAAUUGCUCUUCUAAAUAAAUAAUGAAUGGGAUCUGCAAGCGCAUAGAUUAAUACCGAUGUAGCAUUUUAACCGGGAAGUAUUCCAGGUAUCGUUAUUUAUAUUUUUACCACUGGGAAGGGAUUAGAAAUCAUCACUAAUGAUUACAGAAUAGAAUAUGAGAUUGAGCAUCUAUCAUUGCAUGUAUAAUUGAGAACAUUAUAUCUAACUCUUCAUACAGGGAUAAGUGUCACAUAAAAGAUAUAUGAAAUAAUAAUAGUGACAAGGAUAACUAAUCUGAUCUAGCCACAUAAUAAAUAUGAUAAGCACCUCAAUUAGAUACUCUAGAAAGUCAUUAGCAUGGUAUUAGAACGAACUACAAGAAUAUUCCCUAAGUUAUUCUCAACUAUAUAGUCUAGCAUAUCAUAAUUAGUGCAAGCAUACAUAGCAAUCAUUGCGAGACAAGACUACGCCCAUGCAUAGUGAUAUUAGCAAGGAAUAUGAGAAAAAUAGCAAUCACACCCCUGUAAUAAUGUUGCUCUGCCAGCCUAAUACACGAGAGGGGUAAUAACCCCCUGCAGAAAUAGACAAACACCAAAACUCGUGGAAUUCUGUCAGAUAAAACCCUAAGUCUAGAUCUUGAUUUCAUUUGGAUCCUUUUCUUUAUUUAUUUGAUAAUUAAAUUUGAUACUUAAGGACCGUCAACAAACUCCCCAAGCUUACCUCUCGCUCGUCCCUGAGCAAGGAUGGACUCAGCUAUGGAUCAUAAGUUGUUGCAAUAUCUUUAAAAAUUGACGGUACACAUGAUUUUAAAUAAGAUCUCAUCUCUGAGUUAGAGUAAACUGUCAAGACUUAAAACUUACUUACUUUACCUUCACCAUGGGACUUGUAACCGUCACUUCUGUCUUGAGUAGUUAAAAGAUAGAACAGUCUAGCCAAGUGUCAUGUCUCUUAUUCUUGAUCAGCUAUAGCUCUAGAGUUUUUGCAGAUUUUCAAAUAAAACUCAGAGAUUCCUUGUAUGAUUCUCUCAGGUCUCUCUUUUGUGGUAUUUUUGGAUCCUUACCAAGGCAGUGAUGGUAUAUGCCUUCUCUCAAUAUAUGUGGUAUUUGUGGUAUGAGGCAUAGUGACAUUGCCUUCUCUCUCACCCUACUCUAAUAAGGCUUUAAUAUCUGGAGCUCAUAGGUGGGAGAUAAAGUAUACAUACUUACAAGACAUUUAUUGCAUAGUCAAACCAUGGAUCCAAAGAAACAUAUCAAUAAGCCAAAUCAAGAUGUGCAUGUGUGGCGAAUGAAUGGUGUAUGGUGAUAACGGUGAUAACAAUGGUGGAAACAAUGGUGGUGGAAGUCUAAUUCUACUUUGCUCUUUGAGGGGAUACAUACCUUCCUUGCUUUUGAAACUUUAUGAGGAGAAUGAGAUGCUCUUCUUUUUCUUCUCUCUCAGGUGGGUAUAUUGUACCCCUAAUUCUACUGUCGGACACUUGUCCAUUUUUACCUCUCGUCUCACUCUUUCUUUUCUUUCGAGGUUCUGAGCACUUGCUCCUUUUUAUUUCCUCGUAUCUUUUUUUCUUUCUCUUUUUUUUAGAGCAUUCAUCUCUUGAGAUAAUAUAGCAAGUGGUAGUAACAAGAUAACUUGAGCAUUUAUUUCACAAGGGGAAAACAGAAAUAUUUUUGGUUAUUCUCUCCCGGAUUAGGAGUAGAAUAUUUUUGGUUGGUUCUGGAGAUGGAAUGGGUGGAUAUAUGUGGAUGGUACUUCCGGAGUAGAAGUAGCAUAUAUGAGUGAACGUGCAAGUGAAAUCUUGAUUUAACCACAUGACAAGCUCCUAAGGGUCUACACAGCUUGACUACACUUAAUGCUCAUAAGCAGUAAAUAAUAAAUGUGUGGCUCAAAGUCUAGCAAGCAUGUAUAUAUGGCUGUGGUAGGAAUUUAAACUCUCAUCAUACAGGAACUCAUCAUGCAACAUUUUAAAGAUUUUCAAAGAUAAAAUUCUCCAGAAUUCUAGCAUCUCUAGGAACAGAUAAACAGCAG
rnacentral:lncRNA from 1 species